rnacentral:rRNA from 1 species
GAUGAACGCUGGCGGCGUGCCUAAUACAUGCAAGUCGAGCGAACAGAUAAGGAGCUUGCUCCUUUGACGUUAGCGGCGGACGGGUGAGUAACACGUGGGUAACCUACCUAUAAGACUGGAAUAACUCCGGGAAACCGGGGCUAAUGCCGGAUAACAUUUAGAACCGCAUGGUUCUAAAGUGAAAGAUGGUUCUGCUAUCACUUAUAGAUGGACCCGCGCCGUAUUAGCUAGUUGGUAAGGUAACGGCUUACCAAGGCAACGAUACGUAGCCGACCUGAGAGGGUGAUCGGCCACACUGGAACUGAGACACGGUCCAGACUCCUACGGGAGGCAGCAGUAGGGAAUCUUCCGCAAUGGGCGAAAGCCUGACGGAGCAACGCCGCGUGAGUGAUGAAGGUCUUCGGAUCGUAAAACUCUGUUAUUAGGGAAGAACAAAUGUGUAAGUAACUGUGCACGUCUUGACGGUACCUAAUCAGAAAGCCACGGCUAACUACGUG